rnacentral:rRNA from 1 species
UGAAGUAAGUAAGGGCGUACGGUGAAUGCCUUGGUGCCAACAGGCGAAGAAGGACGCGGCAAGCUGCGAAAAGCCUCGGGAAGCUGCAAGCAAGCGAUGAUCCGGGGAUAUCCGAAUGGGGUAACCUGAUCGAGGCAAUACUCGAUCGUUCAUACCUGAAUACAUAGGGUAUGAAACGUGAAACCCGCUGAAGUGAAACAUCUCAGUAAGCGGAGGAAAAGAAAGAGAAAUCGAUUCCGUAAGUAGUGGCGAGCGAAAGCGGAUGGAGCCCAAACCGAAGGUAUUCCUUCGGGGUUGUAGGACCACGUCAUAUUCGACCAUACUGGAUAGUAGAACAGCCUGGAAAGGCUGGCCGGAGAAGGUGAAAGCCCUGUAGACGAAAUCCAGAGUGGGAAUUAGUGGUAUCCUGAGUAAUACAUCACACGUGGAACGAUGUAUGAACCCGCGCGGACCACCGCGCAAGGCUAAAUACUAGUUGGCGACCGAUAGUGAACAAGUACCGCGAGGGAAAGGUGAAAAGAACCGCUGUGAGCGGAGUGAAAUAGAACCUGAAACCGUAUGUCUACAAAGUGUCAGAGCAGAGCAAUCUGCGAUGGCGUGCCUUUUGUUUAAUGAGUCUGCGAGUCAGUGUUUGUGGCAAGACUAAGGGCUUCCGGCCCGGAGUCGCAGCGAAAGCAAGUCCGAACAGGGCGCAAUAAGUCGCAGGUACUGGACCCGAAGCGGAGGUGACCUACCCUUGGCCAGGUUGAAGCAUGGGUAAAACCAUGUGGAGGACCGAACAGGUGAACGUUGAAAAGUUCUCUGAUGAGCUGAGGGUAGGAGUGAAAGGCUAAUCAAACCCCGUGAUAGCUGGUUCUCUUCGAAAUGCAUUUAGGUGCAGCGUCACGUGCUGAUGCGCGGGGGUAGAGCACUGACAAGGCUAGGGGGCACACCCGCUUACCAAACCUUAUCAAACUCCGAAUACCGUGCAAUGGAACGUGGCAGUGAGACAGUGGGGGAUAAGCUUCAUUGUCGAGAGGGAAACAACCCAGACCAGCAGCUAAGGUGCCUAAAUAACGCUCAGUGGAAAGGAUGUGGGAUUACACAGACAGUGAGGAUGUUGGCUUAGAAGCAGCCACCAUUUAAAAAAUGCGUAAUAGCUUACUCAUCGAGUGAUCCUGCGCCGAAAAUGAUUGGCGAUCAAGCGUUAUACCGAAGCUCUGGACUUUGCCGCAAGGCAGAGUGGUAGAAGAGCGUUGCAUGCGCGUCGAAGGGCGAUGGCGACUGACCCUGGAGCACAUGCAAGUGAGUAUGCAGACAUGAGUAACGUUAAGCCGGGUGAAAUCCCCGGCCGCCGUAAACCCGAGGUUUCCAGGGCAACGUGUUUCGUCCCUGGGUUAGCCGGGACCUAAGCCGAGGCCGAGAGGCGUAGGCGAUGGACAUCAGGUUAAUAAUCCUGAGCUCGCAACCCUUAAACUGGGGGGACGCAUGAGAAAAGAUGACUAGGUUAUUGAAUUCCGAGUUGAGUCCACGGACUCAGCGCAUCAUUGGAUCGAGUGCCAAGAAAAGCCCCAGCGUAUGCUAAGCGACCCGUACCGCAAACCGACACAGGUGGGUGGGUAGAAUAUACCAAGGCGUAAGAGUGAAACCUGGUUAAGGAACUCGGCAAAUUAGCCCCGUAACUUCGGAAGAAGGGGUGCCUGCAGCGAUGCAGGCCGCAGAGAAAUGGCCCAACCGACUGUUUAUCAAAAACACAGCACUCUGCAAAGACGCAAGUCGAAGUAUAGGGUGUGACACGUGACCAAUGCCGAAAGAUUAAGGCAAGGGGUUAGCCGCAAGGCGAAGCUCUAAACCCAAGUCCCGGUGAAUGUCGGCCGUAACUAUAACGGUCCUAAGGUAGCGAAAUUCCUUGUCGGGUAAGUUCCG